rnacentral:rRNA from 1 species
UACGUAGGGUGCGAGCGUUGUCCGGAUUUAUUGGGCGUAAAGAGCUCGUAGGCGGUUUGUCGCGUCGGCCGUGAAAUCUCCACGCUUAACGUGGAGCGUGCGGUCGAUACGGGCAGACUUGAGUUCGGUAGGGGAGACUGGAAUUCCUGGUGUAGCGGUGAAAUGCGCAGAUAUCAGGAGGAACACCCGUGGCGAAAGCGGCUCUCUGGGACGGUACUGACGCUGAGACGCGAAAGCGUGGGGAGCAAACAGG